AGAAAGAGCUUGGCUGUUUGGAAAAGGCAGAAAUUGGAAGUCUAUACUGCUGAGGAUGUGACAUCUCAUCUCAAUGAUAGCUUUCUGGGGCAGCAACAGAGUGGAUGUUGGCAACCACAUCCUGGCAGCUGCUGUUUUGCUUUUCCAGAUGCCCCAAACAUGGCAUCUUUAUGGGGCAGUGAGGCACCCCUUAGGAUUGCUGUGCUGCUGGGGCUUGCGGCAUUCAUUUCUUUUCCUCCUAAUCACAGAAGGAUUGGGGCAGACUGGCUACAAAGAUUCACUUUUAUGAGGACCAGGGGUCUGAAAUGAAUCACGCUUCCUACUUUUAUGAGACACCUCUCUUAAUUACAACCACCUCUCUUCUUUUGUCCAUCCCAGUCUUGAAAGUCCAACUUGUGGCCAUGGAAGAGGAAAAAAUAAGUGGACUGAGGAAUGAAGAAGGCAGCUGCAUGAUCAUCAGCCACUGUGAGUAAAAUUUCACACCUGGCUGCAUGGAGAAACUAAAACAGGACAAACAGGAUUUGGAAAGAAUUUAAACAUGACACUAGCUGCAUUAUUUGGGAAGACAACAAUUGCAUAACAUGGUGAAGUACAGCUGCAUACAAGCCAAGAACAACAAUCUUUUUCUUUCACCUACGGAAAAGGUGCGUGCGGAUAAAGUGCCUUCACUCCUGCCGAACAAUUGGGUUGACAUUCUUAUCUUUGCUGAAUAUCAGUCAAAAUUCAUCAGGUUUUUUUCCACUUGUGGAGUCUGAGAAGCCA